GGGGGGGGGGGGGGGGGGGGGUAGGGCGUGCGGGGCGGACGGGGAGGCCCUGCUUUUGGGGGGUGCUCGAGUGGCGAACGGGUGAGUAACGCGUGAGUAACCUGCCCUUGACUUUGGGAUAACUUCAGGAAACUGGGGCUAAUACCGGAUAGGAGCUCCUGCUGCCUGGUGGGGGUUGGAAAGUUUCGGCGGUUGGGGAUGGACUCGCGGCUUAUCAGCUUGUUGGUGGGGUAGUGGCUUACCAAGGCUUUGACGGGUAGCCGGCCUGAGAGGGUGACCGGCCACAUUGGGACUGAGAUACGGCCCAGACUCCUACGGGAGGCAGCAGUGGGGAAUAUUGCACAAUGGGCGGAAGCCUGAUGCAGCAACGCCGCGUGCGGGAUGACGGCCUUCGGGUUGUAAACCGCUUUCGCCUGUGACGAAGCGUGAGUGACAGUAAUGGGUAAAGAAGCACCGGCUAACUACGUG
rnacentral:rRNA from 1 species